rnacentral:rRNA from 1 species
AGUGAACGCUGGCGGUAGGCCUAACACAUGCAAGUCGAACGGCAGCACAGUAAGAGCUUGCUCUUACGGGUGGCGAGUGGCGGACGGGUGAGGAAUACAUCGGAAUCUACUUUUUCGUGGGGGAUAACGUAGGGAAACUUACGCUAAUACCGCAUACGACCUACGGGUGAAAGCAGGGGAUCUUCGGGCCUUGCGCGAUUGAAUGAGCCGAUGUCGGAUUAGCCAGUUGGCGGGGUAAAGGCCCACCAAGGCGACGAUCCGUAGCUGGUCUGAGAGGAUGAUCAGCCACACUGGAACUGAGACACGGUCCAGACUCCUACGGGAGGCAGCAGUGGGGAAUAUUGGACAAAGGGCGCAAGCCUGAUCCAGCCAUACCGCGUGGGUGAAGAAGGCCUUCGGGUUGUAAAGCCCUUUUGUUGGGAAAGAAAAGCAGCAGGUUAAUACCCCGCUGUUCUGGCGGUACCCAAAGAAUAAGCACCGGCUAACUUCGUG